AUGACGAUGGAGCUAGGAAGCUUCAAUAGGGACAAGAUGCACUGGGGAGCCCUUCACCAUCACAGACAGGAAAGUGUCCAGUCCUUAAAAGGAAAAAGAGGCAGCAUCUCCUUCCAGAAGAUAACUUGGGCAGAUAAUUACAAUAUGCGGCAGCAGAACGAUUAGUCAGAAGAAUUCCAAUAAAAAUAAAUUCACAUGCUUUCAAAGUCCAGAAGGCCAAACCUGGGGCUUCCCUGGCCAAAAGGAGUCAGAAAUCUUAAGUUGAAAAAGUUUAGUGAGAACAAUCUAUCAAGUCUGCCCUGUAAGCAAAGAUGAAUAGGGAAAAGCAACAGAACGUAUUUUCUGCCAGGAUUCCUACAAAGGCAUCAUUAAAACAAAAGAUUGUAAAGUCUGUGAAACCGUCUGCUCUCUGACUUGGUGGA
rnacentral:lncRNA from 1 species